UACGUAGGGUGCAAGCGUUGUCCGGAAUUAUUGGGCGUAAAGAGCUCGUAGGCGGUUUGUCGCGUCGGCUGUGAAAACCCGGGGCUCAACCCCGGGCCUGCAGUCGAUACGGGCAAACUAGAGUGCGGUAGGGGAGACUGGAAUUCCUGGUGUAGCGGUGAAAUGCGCAGAUAUCAGGAGGAACACCGGUGGCGAAGGCGGGUCUCUGGGCCGAUACUGACGCUGAGGAGCGAAAGCGUGGGGAGCGAACAGG
rnacentral:rRNA from 1 species